CCUACGGGCGGCAGCAGUGAGGAAUAUUGGUCAAUGGCCGGAAGGCUGAACCAGCCAUGCCGCGUGAAGGUCAGUGCCCUAUGGGCGUUAAACUUCUUUUGUGCGGGAGCAAUAAUGGUCACGUGUGGCCAGACGAGAGUACCGUACGAAUAAGCAUCGGCUAACUCCGUGCCAGCAGCCGCGGUAAUACGGGGGAUGCAAGCGUUAUCCGGAUUUAUUGGGUUUAAAGGGUGCGUAGGCUGGUAGGUAAGUCAGCGGUGAAAUGCCCCCGCUCAACGGGGUGAAGUGCAAUGGAUACUGCCUUGCUGGAAUGCGGAUGCCGUGGGAGGAAUGUGUGGUGUAGCGGUGAAAUGCAUAGAUAUCACACAGAACACCGAUUGCGAAGGCAGCUCACGAAUCCGCGAUUGACGCUGAUGCACGAAAGCGUGGGUAUCAAACAGGAUUAGAUACCCGUGUAGUC
rnacentral:rRNA from 1 species